ACGAGCAACUAGGGGAGCUGGAGGAGUCCGGCUGAGAGGAAAACCACUCUGUUUUCGACCCUGUCACCUGAACUGGAUAAUACCAGCGUAGGAAAGUUGAGAUCGAAGACA
rfam:Exiguobacterium sibiricum 255-15, complete genome.